rnacentral:rRNA from 1 species
CCUACGGGGGGCAGCAGUAGGGAAUAUUGCGCAAUGGACGGAAGUCUGACGCAGCGACGCCGCGUGAGCGAUGAAGGUCUUCGGAUCGUAAAGCUCUGUCCUUGGGGAAGAAGGUCUUCGGACUUGACGGUACCCAAGAAGAAAGCCCCGGCUAACUACGUGCCAGCAGCCGCGGUAAUACGUAGGUGGCGAGCGUUGUCCGGAAUUACUGGGUGUAAAGGGCGUGUAGGCGGGGAUGCAAGUCAGAUGUGAAAUUCCGGGGCUCAACCCCGGCACUGCAUCUGAAACUGUGUCUCUUGAGUGCUGGAGAGGAAAGUGGAAUUCCUAGUGUAGCGGUGAAAUGCGUAGAGAUUAGGAGGAACACCAGUGGCGAAGGCGACUUUCUGGACAGUAACUGACGCUGAGGCGCGAGAGCGUGGGGAGCAAACAGGAUUAGAUACCCCUGUAGUC